AAUAUUGGUAACUACAUGUGACCAUUCACAUAGAUACUAUUUGGGGUUGUUAAUCCUCCAUUGCGUUCUCUUUCUCUCUCUCUCUUUUCCUUUUAAAAUUGGGAUGCCAAUGCAUCUGCACCAUUGAAAUUAUGUAUGAAAUUUUCAUUUAUGUAACUUUCUUUUUAUAUUUCCUAGGAGAAAACUUCUGAUUAUGUAACAAAAUUAUAUAUGACAAUACAAAGAACACCGAAAGUAACAAAAAUUACAUGCAGAUCCGUAGAUCAACCGGAGACAACUACAAACAUUGGAGCAAACCGAAAUUACAUCAUGGCAUUGUAACAUUUUUUUAUUCGUAUGAGUUCUUAUUUCUAUGGGUAAAAUGUCCAUCAUGCUAUUUAUGUCAUGAGAUUGAUUAUUACGAAUUCAGCUUUUGAAAAUAGUUUUUGCCCAAAUUACCAUUUGUCUCCUGUGCAAACCCUAGAAAAGAGAUUUUUGUGUGCCUUAGGGCAUCUAUAGUUGAAACUUGCAAAUCCGGUCUCUCAAACGCCACUGAUCGAACGUGUCCGUUUUGAACCCCUAUUUUUUUGUCCGUGCAGCCGCACCUCUCAUAUUUUUCCUCAUAUGUACAGUCACUUGCACGUGAUUGAUGGAGAAGAAGAG
rnacentral:lncRNA from 1 species